rnacentral:rRNA from 1 species
UACGUAGGGGGCAAGCGUUGUCCGGAUUUAUUGGGCGUAAAGCGCGUGUAGGCGGCCAGAUGGGUCCGCUGUGAAAACUCGAGGCUUAACCUCGAGACGUCGGCGGAAACCAUUUGACUAGAGUCCGGAAGAGGAGAGUGGAAUUCCUGGUGUAGCGGUGAAAUGCGCAGAUAUCAGGAAGAACACCUAUGGCGAAGGCAGCUCUCUGGGACGGUACUGACGCUGAGACGCGAAAGCGUGGGGAGCGAACAGG